rnacentral:misc_RNA from 1 species
GUGAAUCAUCAAAUCUUUGAACGCAUAUUGCACUCUCUGGGAUUCCGGUGAGUAUGCCUAUUUGAGGGUCAUUUGAUAUUAUAUAACUUCCAUGAUUUCUCGGAAUUUAAAAUGUGUUGUCCAUUUUUUGUGGUCGCCUAAAAUCCAAGACAAGCUCAUUUUCUUUGUUUGCUUGAUACUUUGUGUUACCUCUUGACUUAAC